rnacentral:rRNA from 1 species
UACGUAGGGGGCAAGCGUUGUCCGGAAUCAUUGGGCGUAAAGCGCGCGUAGGCGGCCCGGUAAGUCCGCUGUAAAAGUCCAGGGCUCAACCCUGGAAAGCCGGUGGAUACUGUCGGGCUAGAGUCCGGAAGAGGCGAGUGGAAUUCCUGGUGUAGCGGUGGAAUGCGUAGAUAUACGGAGGAACACCAGAGGCGAAGGCGGAUCGCUGGGCCAACACUGACGCUGAGACGCGAAAGCUAGGGUAGCAAACGGG